GCAAGUCGAGCGGUAACAUUUCUAGCUUGCUAGAAGAUGACGAGCGGCGGACGGGUGAGUAAUGCUUGGGAAUUUACCAUUUGGUGGGGGACAACAGUUGGAAACGACUGCUAAUACCGCAUAAUAUUUUCGAAUCAAAGGUGGCCUCUUCUUGAAAGCUAUCGCCAAAUGAUGAGCCCAAGUGAGAUUAGCUAGUUGGUGAGGUAAUGGCUCACCAAGGCGACGAUCUCUAGCUGGUCUUAGAGGAUGACC
rnacentral:rRNA from 1 species